rnacentral:rRNA from 1 species
UACGGAGGGAGCUAGCGUUGUUCGGAAUUACUGGGCGUAAAGCGCACGUAGGCGGCGAUUUAAGUCAGAGGUGAAAGCCCGGGGCUCAACCCCGGAAUAGGCUUUGAGACUGGAUGGCUUGAAUCCAGGAGAGGUGAGUGGAAUUCCGAGUGUAGAGGUGAAAUUCGUAGAUAUUCGGAAGAACACCAGUGGCGAAGGCGGCUCACUGGACUGGUAUUGACGCUGAGGUGCGAAAGCGUGGGGAGCAAACAGG